rnacentral:rRNA from 1 species
UACAGAGGUGGCAAGCGUUGUUCGGAAUUACUGGGCGUAAAGGGCGCGUAGGCGGUUCGUUAAGUCCUGUGUGAAAUCCCCCGGCUCAACUGGGGAACUGCACAGGAAACUAGCGGGCUUGAGUUCGGGAGAGGGAAGCGGAAUUCCGGGUGUAGCGGUGAAAUGCGUAGAGAUCCGGAAGAACACCGGAGGCGAAGGCGGCUUGCUGGGCUUGGUCUGACGCUGAGGCGCGAAAGCGUGGGGAGCGAACAGG